rnacentral:rRNA from 1 species
GACGAACGUUGGCGGCGUGCUUAACACAUGCAAGUCGAACGGAAAGGCCCCUUUGGGGGUACUCGAGUGGCGAACGGGUGAGUAACACGUGAGUAACCUGCCCUUGACUUCGGGAUAACUUCAGGAAACUGGGGCUAAUACCGGAUAGGAAUCCUUGCUGCAUGGUGGGGGUUGGAAAGCUUCGGCGGUUUUGGAUGGACUCGCGCCUUAUCAGCUUGUUGGUGGGGUAGUGGCUUACCAAGGCUUUGACGGGUAGCCGGCCUGAGAGGGCGACCGGCCACAGUGGGACUGAGAUACGGCCCAGACUCCUACGGGAGGCAGCAGUGGGGAAUAUUGCACAAUGGGCGGAAGCCGGAUGCAGCAACGCCGCGGGCGGGAUGACGGCCUUCGGGUUGUAAACCGCUUUCAGCAGGGGCGAAGCUUGUGGUGACGGUACCUGCAGAAGAAGCACCGGCUAACUACGUG